rnacentral:rRNA from 1 species
AGCGAACGCUGGCGGCAGGCUUAACACAUGCAAGUCGAACGGGCACUUCGGUGCUAGUGGCAGACGGGUGAGUAACACGUGGGAACGUACCUUUCGGUUCGGAAUAAUUCAGGGAAACUUGGACUAAUACCGGAUACGCCCUUCGGGGGAAAGAUUUAUCGCCGAUAGAUCGGCCCGCGUCUGAUUAGCUAGUUGGUGAGGUAAUGGCUCACCAAGGCGACGAUCAGUAGCUGGUCUGAGAGGAUGAUCAGCCACAUUGGGACUGAGACACGGACCAAACUCCUACGGGAGGCAGCAGUGGGGAAUAUUGGACAAUGGGCGCAAGCCUGAUCCAGCCAUGCCGCGUGAGUGAUGAAGGCCUUAGGGUUGUAAAGCUCUUUUGUCCGGGAAGAUAAUGACUGUACCGGAAGAAUAAGCCCCGGCUAACUUCGUGCCAGCAGCCGCAGUAAGAC